GACGAACGCUGGCGGCGUGCUUAACACAUGCAAGUCGAACGGAAAGGCCCUGCAAUUGUGGGUUGCUCGAGGGGCGAACGGGUGAGUAACAAGAACGUAACCUGGCCUGGACUUUAGGAUAAGUUCAGGACACUGGGGCUAAUAUCGGCUAAGAGCUCCAGGUGCAAGGCGGGGGUUGGAAAGUUUCGGCGGUGGGGGAUGGACUCGCGGCUUAUUAGCUUGUUGAUGGGGUAGUGGCUUACCAAGGCUUUGACGGGUAGCAGGCCUGCGAGGGUGACCAGCCACCUUGGGACUGCGGUACGGCCGACCAUCCUCCGGGAGGCAGCAGCGGGGAAUAUUGCACCAUGGGCGGCAGCCUGAUGAAGCAGCGCCGCGUGCGGGAUGUAGGCCUUCGGGUUGUAAACCGCUUUCGCCUGUGACGAAGAGGCAGUGACGGUAAUGGGUAAAGAAGCACCGGCUAACUCCGUG
rnacentral:rRNA from 1 species